rnacentral:rRNA from 1 species
UUCCCCUAGUAACGGCGAGUGAAGAGGGAAGAGCUCAAAUUUUGAAUCUGGCGUCUCUGGCGUCCGAAUUGUAAUCUAGAGAAGUGUUUUCCGUGGCGGACCGUGCAUAAGUCUCCUGGAAUGGAGCGUCAUAGAGGGUGAGAAUCCCGUAUAUGGCAUGGACUCCCGUUGCUCUGUGAUACACUCUCGACGAGUCGAGUUGUUUGGGAAUGCAGCUCCAAAUGGGUGGUAAAUGCCAUCUAAAGCUAAAUAUUGGCGAGAGACCGAUAGCGAACAAGUACCGUGAGGGAAAGAUGAAAAGCACUUUGGAAAGAGAGUGAAACAGUACGUGAAAUUGUUGAAAGGGAAACGCUUGAAGUCAGUCGCGCCGUUCAGGAUUCAGCCUUGCUUCUGCUCGGUUUACUUCCUGUUGGGUGGGUCAACAUCAGUUUUGAUCGGAGGAGAAAGGCUUGGGGAAGGUAGCAGCAUUUAUGCUGUGUUUAUAGCCCCUUGUUGUAUACUUCGAUUGGGACUGAGGACUGCAGCACGCCUUUGGCCGGGGUUCGCCCACGUACGUGCUUAGGAUGUUGGCAUAAUGGCUUUAAGCGACCCGUCUUGAAACACGGACCAAGGAGUCUAACAUGUGCGCGAGUGUUUGAGUGUUAAACUCAGACGCGAAAUGAAAGUGAAAAGUUGGGAACACUUAUGUGUGCACCGACGCCCGGAGCUGACCUUCUGUGACGCAUCUGCGGUAGAGCGUAUAUGUUGGGACCCGAAAGAUGGUGAACUAUGCCUGAAUAGGGUGAAGCCAGAGGAAACUCUGGUGGAGGCUCGUAGCGAUUCUGACGUGCAAAUCGAUCGUCAAAUUUGGGUAUAGGGGCGAAAGACU